AAUGUGGUCGUUCUGCCAAAUUUGAGCAAGGAUAGCGCAGCGGUGAGCGAAAAAUGUUUUGCGAACGCGCGCAGCGAAAUAUUCAGGACCCAGCACAUGACUUACGGCUUUCAUAUUUACUUCGACUUUGGAUUCGCAACUAUGAGAAGCGCGGCAAUGGCUCUGACGGCACCUUGCAAUCUACGGCGGUGAACGAGUAUUUAAACGCGAGUGGCAUUCCUCUCUUGGUUGCGUUACGCCUGUGAAAUCCGACAGCGGUGGCAGCAUGUCGUCCGAUCCGCCUUCAACUGAACGCUCGCCGACUGAUGCGGAAGGAGCGGUUUGCCUCUUGCUUGCGGUGCGCCUGUACCUCACAGCGGUGGCAGUAUGGCGUCCGAUCCGCCUUCAACUGAACGCUCGCCAACUGGUGCGGAAGGAGCGGUUUGCCUCUUGCUUGCGUUGCGCCUGUGAAACGUGACAACGGUGGCAGCAUGUCGUCCGAUCCGGCUUAAACUGAACGCUCGCCGACAGGGGCGGAAGAAGCGGCUUGCCUCGUUUCGCAGGGGCCAUCAAAGAAAAUCGUGAAGCUCAUAGGCGCCCGGAAACUCGCCGACCUCCACGAAAGCCUGCGGACGGGAGGGUUCGUGUACCUGAUGACAGGCAACGAUCUUCUAAUACAGAUCUUCCAACGACCGGUUGCAGUGCUACGUCGACAUGGGUGAAAGCACGACGGUGUGUGAUGGAGCAUUGAUUAACUUGGUUGUCUCCCCAAGCCACUCCGAAGCAUCAGAGGCACAAAAAAAGCCGCUGUCUGGUAGUGCGGUUGGACAUGCGGAGAAUGCAGUCAAAGGACAGUACAAGGAAUUGUCAACUUACACACUGCCUCUGAUGCCCAUUGACGUUGCUGCACACCUCUGAAAUAUUACAGCAGGAGGCGUGCCUGACAAUCUUCAAAAGAAAAUUGAAUGGAUUGCCUACAAUUCGUCAUCUCA